rnacentral:rRNA from 1 species
AGCCGUUCAGGUUGGACGAGAGGGCGAAGUGGGCGUUGCUCAAGUCGGAGCUCAGGUUCAGGUGGUAGUCCCCCCAGCUCAAGCGGUGGGCGAGGGAGAUCCAGCUGCUGUUCCAGCAGUUCCGGGUCUAAACCCUGUAGCGGCCAGAAGGAUAGGGGCAGACAAGCCGUCGUCAACACCUCUGGUACCUACCCUUGAUAGCGUCUUCGUGGUAAAACGGAAAAAGAUAAUCUACGGAAACCUAACAAACCGUAGUCUGGAACAAGUUCCUCUAAACGAAAACCAUCUACGUCUCAUAUCUAAUUCAUAAGUUAUUUUAAGUGGUGUACUCAUAUGAUGAAUUAUCGGUUAAAAGCACCAGUUUAAGUCGGGACCUACGUUUACCUGUAGUACUAAGACAAUACGCGGCUCCAGACACCAGUUUAAGAGCUAACCACACCUUGUGGUACCUGUCCCGUUUUAGUCACACGAAACUUUACAUCCCGCUUAGAACACCUCCUCAUCCCGUUUAGUCUGUAACAGAGCGAACACGGCGACACUAUUGUACGACUUACAACCAGUACGCUGACACAUACUUAGAAGACAUGUACAUAUAAUAGUCCGUAACAAAUUACGACGACUCCCACAUUGUCUCCACUACAAACAUGAUGACAACUUUGUUUAUCGGCUCCUUCAGUGUUACAAGAAGACAAUUCGGUAACAGAGUACAUGAAUGUUUAAAGACCAACUGCACAUCACAAAGUUGGUUGACAUCUUUUUAGUCAAACUACAUACCUACGAAGUACGCCACCAUCGAUUACUAGAGACAUGACUACUGUCAAAACACUAGUCCUAGAUUACAGCAGCUCCACCGACGACGAGAAUGGCUUCUAGUCUUCUUCGGACCUAUACACGUGGUUCAAAAUCAACUACAACGGUGGUUCAAAACCACGUACACAUAAACAAAAAACUAACAUACAUGUGAACAACCUAGCACGUUAUACACGAUAACAUGUACACCAUAACACUCAAAGUAACUAGCUAAAAACCUAAACUAGUAAAUUAACUUUCUUACAAAACUAACAAACGACAACUUUACACAUUUAAACUUUAGACACUUACUUUUC